AGUGUAGAAAUCAACUCUUGUCAGAAUUUCAAGAGAAUUAAUAUUUUGGAAAAUGUGCUAAGGUAAAGAGUUAGAAGAUUAGUGAAGCGCAAUGAAUGAAAUGCAUUCUUUUAUGUGAAAAUACAAAAAGAAUAAAUGUCCUGCAGGUGAAUGGGGCUGUAGCAAUCUUAUUUAGGAUGAAAGUCUGAUUGGCCCUUAUUAGGAUGAUUAACCUUUCUGAAAUUAAGAGCCACCCCUGAAUUAGUCUGUCCAAUUUAAAUGCAAA
ensembl:misc_RNA